rnacentral:rRNA from 1 species
AGUGAACGCUGGCGGUAGGCCUAACACAUGCAAGUCGAACGGCAGCACAGUAAGAGCUUGCUCUUACGGGUGGCGAGUGGCGGACGGGUGAGGAAUACAUCGGAAUCUACUUUUUCGUGGGGGAUAACGUAGGGAAACUUACGCUAAUACCGCAUACGACCUACGGGUGAAAGCAGGGGAUCUUCGGACCUUGCGCGAUUGAAUGAGCCGAUGUCGGAUUAGCUAGUUGGCGGGGUAAAGGCCCACCAAGGCGACGAUCCGUAGCUGGUCUGAGAGGAUGAUCAGCCACACGGGAACUGAGACACGGUCCAGACUCCUAAGGGAGGCAGAAGUGGGGAAUAUGGGACAAGGGGCGCAAGCCUGACCCAGCCAUACCGCGGGGGUGAAGAAGGCCUUGGGGUUGUAAACCCUUUUUGUGGGGAAAGAAAAGCAGCAGGUUAAUACCCCGCUGUUCUGACGGUACCAAAAAAAAAAGCACCGGCUAACUUCGUG